UCUCUCAUCUGUGUUUUCAGGGCAUGGACUGGAACUCCCAAUACCCCUGACAUGGGCUGAGUCAACGUGGUCAUGAACAUGUGACAGGAGGCAGCAGAAGUUGCAGAGAAGAGUGAGGCACGUUUGAAAAAGGCUGAAAAAUGUUUCUGUCCAGGCAAGGGUGUGUGCUGAAUGACUCAAGGAUUUUUUGGUGCAUUGAAUGAACAGCGGGACAUUGGACACCUGCUGAUCCAUCACCCCGGGCCCGGGCAGGCCCGUGGAUGAAGAGAGAUGGAGAAGACCAGGCAUGAGACUG
rnacentral:lncRNA from 1 species